rnacentral:rRNA from 1 species
UAAGGGCUAGUUUUGUGGGCAAAAGCGUAAAGGGUGUGAUAGGCCGUUUUAAUUAAAAAGGGUUUUAUAAUUUAAGAAGGUAAAUGGAAUUUUUUUGUAGCGGUGGAAUGUGUAAAUAGAAAAAAGAACUUUAGACGUGAAGACUAUUUAUUUUUGAGAUUAUAGUGUGAUGGCUAAAACACGAGAGUAUGGGGAGCAAACAGGAUUAGGGACCCUGGUAGUCUAUACUGUAAAUAAUGAAAAAGAUGUGAAGCAAUCCUAAAAAGUCAGAAAUUUUCCGCUUGAGUAGUACGACCGCAAGGUUAAAAUUCAAAAAACUUGGCUGUUCACUGUUUUAAUUAGAGGAGCGUGUCGUUUAAUUCGAUAGUCCGCGAGAGACCUUACCCAAACUUGAAUCCUUCAUUGACAGGUAU